GACUCUCGGCAACGGAUAUCUCGGCUCUCGCAUCGAUGAAGAACGUAGCGAAAUGCGAUACUUGGUGUGAAUUGCAGAAUCCCGUGAACCAUCGAGUUUUUGAACGCAAGUUGCGCCCGAAGCCGUCAGGCCGAGGGCACGCCUGCCUGGGUGUCACGCAACGUCGCCGAGCACCCCUCUCCGGGAGGACGGGGGUGGUCGGCGGAUAUUGGCCUCCCGUUCGCUUCGGCUCGCGGUUGGCCCAAAAAACAGCUCCCCGGGGACGGCAGCCACGGCGCGCGGUGGUUGGCAGCCUCGAACACCGCCGUGGGCGAGCCUCGCCGAUCGGGAGCCGAUGGCCCCGAAGAUCGCAACAGCGACCCCAGGUCAGACGGGAACACCCGCUGAGUUUAAG
rnacentral:rRNA from 1 species